CCCGAAUAACCAAAAGUAAAGAGGACUGUGAACCUACGGUUUAGAGAAUGCAAAUCCCACAGUAGUCCUCGAUGAGAUCAACUAUCUACAGUCUAAUCUGAGCCUGAAAUGGAUGGAAAGGAGGGUGGUGAGAUUAUAAAAUCCUAGUGAGUAAACAGACAUCAUCAUAAACAUCUAGAGUUGAGUACAUGGAGACAAUAAAAUAAAUUAUUGUAAAUCGGGUCACAGCAUUAGAACACAUUCCAUUCAAAAUACAUAAAGAGGCUUACGAAUCUCAUAAAAACUAGACCUGUGCCAUAAAUCUAUCCUCGGGGACACCCUGGCCGAGGCAUCCUACCGAGACCGCCAAGGCUGUUAAAAAUUCACAUUUCACAUAAAACACAUUUUUUCGUUGGACAUCACAGUCGUUUCUUGGUGUUGGCUGAGUUCACCCUCACGUGGUGGUUUAGCGUGAAAUGAACCCUAAACUUUACCCCAGGAGAUACCUUAUGCGCCUCUCUGAUCGAGGUAAGAAUAUAAUGGGGUUUACUGUGCCCCUCUAAAAGGUUGGUCCACAAAAAGCCCCUGCUGUAGUGAUUAAUUAAUAUAUAAUCUACCAAUUCAAUAAAAUUUACAAUAGCAUGACAUGACAAUUAUUUUAUUCACAGUCUUUCAAGGUAAACAAAUAAUCCGUAUUUCAAUAUAAUUGCCAACUAGCCAAUCAUGCCUGAUUUAUCAUAAGCCAAUCAAUUUAAACAAUCAAAUUUCAACAAUUAACAGUCUCCAUGUACUCUAUUUUUCAACAUCAUUUUUAAUUUCAAAACAAUUUAUAAAUUAAUUUCAUUGAAACACAUUUAUUCACAAAACAUGAAAAUUUACCUUUUUAAAUUCCUUUUUCCAUAGAAUUCAUGAAAUCAUCUAAAAACCACCCUAAAUAAUUAAAAUGACAGUAAGUUUACUCACAAUGUCUAGAGUGCAGAUUCUCGAAAUACUCAGACUACUGGUCCUCGAGUGCAAUUUUCUUGUCUUUAUCGGAGAACUCACCACCUUGACACAGUACAAAAUCGAGAAACUUACUACAUUGGUACUAAAUUGAAAUUAAACUUAUUUAGACUACUAAUGCAUGAUAUGGAAUGCAAAAAUGCACUGGUAACUAUUUAAACUCGAUAUUGACCUAAUUCGUCCUAUCACCCGAUUAAAUUACUAAUACGUCCAAUUUAAUCCCAAAUUACUCCAAAUUGUUCCAAUUCUUUUCCAAUAUCUUAGUUCACCAAACUCAAAUCAAAUAACCUAAAAUUUGGCAAAACUAUCUUCACUUUUCUUCUUAAAAUUUUCGGCCAAUAAUGGUGCAUUAACACCGUGAUUUUUCCUACUACUUUUCCACACCAUAAUUCAUCAUUUUCUAACCAAUUCUCCUAGAAUAAAAAUCAAAUUCAUCCUCACUCAACACAUGGUAAAUUCGGCAUUGAUGGUUGUUGGAGAAAAUGAAUUCUUUUCUUGUUGUUUUAUUUCUAAAGAUGCUAAACUAACUAAAAACACUAACAUAUCUUAAAAUCAAAUCAAUCCAACAUCUUUCUCUCUCCUUACCCAUUUUGACCAGCCAUGAAUUCAUCAUGAAACAUGUAAUUUAAGCAUGGAAAAUAAGGAGAAAUGCUUAAGGAAAAUAGAUUUCAAGCUUAAGUUGAAAAACCCUACCUUUUUCACUUGUUUUCCUUGAUUUUCCACACUUUUUCUCUUGAAAUUCUUCACCUAAGGUUUGUUCUUCCUUUCUUUCCC
rnacentral:lncRNA from 1 species